UACAGAGGGGGCGGAGCGUUAUUCGGAAUUAUUGGGCGUAAAGGGCGCGAUAGGCGGCCUUUCAAGUGACGGGUGGAAAUACCCUCGGCUUAACCGAGGAACUGCCUGUCAGACUGGAAGGCUUGAGACCGGGAGAGGUGAGUGGAACUGCGAGUGUAGAGGUGAAAUUCGUAGAUAUUCGCAAGAACACCAGUGGCGAAGGCGGCUCACUGGCCCGGUACUGACGCUGAGGUGCGAAAGCGUGGGGAGCAAACAGG
rnacentral:rRNA from 1 species